GCUGCCUUUACCUGGCUCCCUGGCCCUGUGUGAGAGCUGCCCAGCUCCACGACCAGGGUGGCUGAGGGUGCAGCCCCGGCGCCUCUGACAUCUCCAGACCUGCUGGGCAGCUGUGUUUGACCUCCACAGUCUGGGUCCCAGGGUCAGGCUGGGUUUAAGAGGUUGUAAAUGAUUAACACUGCGGGCACAGGGAAGUCAAAACUUCCACGCAGUGGGAGGAGAAAGGCACUUUCUUACCUGGGAAAGUGGCUGCUCUGUCCACCCCCAUCCUCUGAAGGAGAACGGCUCGGCAAAAUGGCACUGGGCAGUGUGGUCCAGCAGGCAGCACAGGCUGGCACUGCCCCCUCGUCCUGCACCGAUGGGAGGAAAGAGCAUCAACGUCACAGCCUGCCCUUCUCCUGCCGAUACAGUACAACCUGACCUGAACGGUGACUCCAUUUGUGGCCAAUAAUCAUGCCACCGUACGUCUCAUCAACACUUCAUUUUCCCUGUUUAGCCCAUAUCUGAAAUACCCAGGAGUGCCAACCAUGAGAAAAGAGACAUUAGCUGUGCCAGAUGAAUAGCUAAAUGAAGAUUUUGUUUCUAUUACCCUGUCCGACAGCAGCCACCUCUUAGUCUGGCUCCUCUGCCCACACACAUGUAAACCAUGGGAGGGGUACCAUGUAAAAUAGACUUUCAAAGCAAAACAGAGGAAAAGUCAGGAGAAAAAAGGCAGUCUAAUUGAAGCAACUAAACAGGAGACACUCAGGAAAUGGUGCAAAAGGAAUGAGAAAAAUUGUAAUAAGAGGAUUAAGCAACUGGCGGUCGUGCAAAAAAAUCAGUAAGAUAUAAACUGUAAGAGCUUUAUGACUUUUUCUUUAAAGACAAGGGAGGGUGCACUAAAAUAUGUGUUCUGCUUCUCCAACCAAAGUUCAAUAACAAGCAGUGAAUUAAUUGAGAAUACAAUCAACAAAAUGAAUACCAGCUCAGGAACAGGAGUACUAAGACCCAAUAAACCAGUCCUCAUCUUGGGGCCUUUCA
rnacentral:lncRNA from 1 species